rnacentral:misc_RNA from 1 species
GGGGAAAAAAUAAAGAAAAAGAAAAAGGGAAACAAAGGAAGCAGUUUUGUGCAAUUUGUUACAGAUAUUAAAUAAAAAUUUAUAUCUGCUCAGCCAAAUCUGAUACAAUGGAGAGAUAAUAAAAAUAACACUAAAACAAUAUCCCUUGCAGUUUAAAUUGCCAUUUUUCUAAUUCUUAGUAAAAAUUAUUAUAUCUGAUGCA